CAUGAGAAAUUCUAGUUGAAGGAUUGGUUUCGGCCCAUUUUUUGAGUUUAAUUACUCUCUCAUGUU
rnacentral:tRNA from 1 species